rnacentral:rRNA from 1 species
AUGGUGGGGUUAGAUAAAAGUGAAAGCUUUGAGUACCUUGUUGAAAGAAUCAUUGACCGUCUGAAAGGGUGGAAAGAAAAAAUUCUGUCUAUGGGAGGUAAGGAGAUUUUGUUGAAAGCAAUAAUCCAAUCCAUUCCAGCCUUUGCUAUGGCAAUUUUUAAAAUUCCAAAAAAGGUGUGUAAGGAGAUUACUGAUGCAAUGUCAGGCUUUUGGUGGGGAGACACUGAGGAGCAAAAACGCAUGCAUUGGUUUGCAUGGUGGAGGAUGUGCCUACCAAAAUCUAAGGGUGGUAUGGGAUUUAGAGACCUACAUGCUUUCAACCUUUCCAUGCUGGCAAAGCAGAGUUGGAGAUUGAUAACCCAUCCCGAGACAUUAUGUGCACAAGUGCUUAGAGCAAAAUACUAUCCAGGUGGGAACUUGCUGAAUGCUGGGCCCAAGAAGGGAGCAUCUUUCACUUGGCAAAGCAUAGUGGCUGGUCUUCAAACCUUUAAAAGAGGUCAUAUAUGGAGAGUUGGGUCUGGUGCUAGGAUCAAUAUUUGGAAUGAUCAUUGGAUCCCACAGAGCCCCUCAAGGAAGAUCAUCACACCUAGAGGGAACAUUUUACUAAAUACUGUUGAUGAACUCAUGGACCCGGAUACAGGAGAUUGGGACGAACAACUAAUAAGAUCAGUUUUCUUUGGAGUGGAUCAGAACGAAUCCUAG